rnacentral:rRNA from 1 species
ACCUUACGGAGGGGUGGAUUAUUAGAUUCAAAACCAAUGCCCUCCGGGGCUCCUUGGUGAGUCAUGAUAACUUCGCGGAUCGCAUGGCCUUGCGCCGGCGAUGGGUUCAUCCGAAUUUCUGCCCUAUCAACUUUCGAUGGCUGGGUCUUGGCCAGCCAUGGUGACAACGGGUAACGGAGGGUUAGGGCUCGACCCCGGAGAAGGAGCCUGAGAGAUGGCUACUACAUCCAAGGAAGGCAGCAGGCGCGCAAAUUACCCAAUCCCGACCCGGGGAGGUAGUGACAAUACAUACUGAUACAGGGCUCUUUUGGGUCUUGUAAUUGGAAUGAGUACAAUUUAAAUCCCUUAACGAGGAACAAUUGGAGGGCAAGUCUGGUGCCAGCAGCCGCGGUAAUUCCAGCUCCAAUAGCGUAUAUUAAAGUUGUUGAGGUUAAAAAGCUCGUAGUUGAACCUUGGGCCUGGCUGGCCGGUCCGCCUCACCGCGUGCACUGGUCCGGCCGGGCCUUUCCCUCUGGGGAUCCGCAUGGCCUUUACUGGGUGUGCCGGGGGACCAGGACGUUUACUCUGAACAAAUCAGAUCGCUUAAAGAAGGCCUAUGCUCGAAUGUUCUAGCAUGGAAUAAUGGAAUAGGACGUGCGGUUCUAUUUUGUUGGUUUCUAGGACCGCCGUAAUGAUUAAUAGGGACAGUCGGGGGCAUCAGUAUUCAAUUGUCAGAGGUGAAAUUCUUGGAUUUAUUGAAGACUAACUACUGCGAAAGCAUUUGCCAAGGAUGUUUUCAUUAAUCAGGAACGAAAGUUAGGGGAUCGAAGACGAUCAGAUACCGUCGUAGUCUUAACCAUAAACUAUGCCGAUUAGGGAUCGGACGGUGUUAUUUUUUGACCCGUUCGGCAC